rfam:Tupaia chinensis contig121216, whole genome shotgun sequence.
GUGCUCGCUUCAGCAGCACAUACACUAAAAUUGGAACAAUACAGAGAUUAGCAUGGCCCCUGUGUAAGGAUGACAUGCAAAUUCGUGAAGCAGUUCAUAUUCUU